rnacentral:rRNA from 1 species
AGAGUAUGAUCCCGGCUCAGGGUGAACGUUGGCGGCGCGCUUAAUACAUGCAAGUCGAGCGAGAAAGUUCCAAAUACCUUCGGGUACGCGGGACGAGUACAGCGGCGGACUGGUGAGUAACACGUGAUCUACCUACCUCCCUGUCGGGGACAACCUCUGGAAACAGAGGCUAAUACCCGAUGGUCCCGUAAGGGUAAAGGGGCGUUUGCUUCGCGGGGAGAUGGGGUUGCGGCCCAUCAGCUUGUUGGUAGGGUAACGGCCUACCAAGGCUCUGACGGGUAGGGGACCUGAGAGGGUGACCCCCCACAUGGGGACUGAGAUACGGCCCUGACUCCUACGGGAGGCAGCAGUAGGGAAUCUUCCGCAAUGGACGAAAGUCUGACGGAGCGACGCCGCGUGGAGGAUGAAGGCCUUCGGGUUGUAAACUCCUUUUAUAGGGGAAGAAUAAGUGCAAGAGGAAAUGCUUGUACGAUGACGGUACCCUAUGAAUAAGCCACGGCUAACUCUGUGCCAGCAGCCGCGGUAAGACAGAGGUGGCAAACGUUACCCGGAUUUACUGGGCGUAAAGGGCGUCUAGGCGGUUGCGCAAGUCCUCUGUGAAAGCCCCCUGCUUAACGGGGGGAGGCCAGAGGAAACUGCGCGACUAGAGGAUCGGAGGGGGAAGCGGUACUACCAGAGGAGCGGUGAAAUGCGUAGAGACUGGUAGGAACCUCGAUAGCGAAGGCAGCUUCCUGGCCGAUUCCUGACGCUGAAGCGCGAAAGCGUGGGGAGCAAACCGGAUUAGAUACCCGGGUAGUCCACGCCGCAAACGAUGUCGAUUAGGUGUUGGCCUCUUAAAUGCUGGGCCAGUGCCGCAGCUCACGCGUUAAAUCGACCGCCUGGGGAGUACGGCCGCAAGGCUAAAACUCAAGGGAAUUGACGGGGCCCCGCACAAGCGGUGGAGCACGUGGUUUAAUUCGAUGAUAAGCGAAGAACCUUACCUGGGCUUGACAUGUACGUGGUAGGAGUUGGAAACAAUGACGACCCAUCUCGUAAGAGACGGGAGCGUACACAGGUGCUGCAUGGCUGUCGUCAGCUCGUGUCGUGGGACGUCAGGUUAAGUCCUGUAACGAGCGCAACCCUUACCGUUAGUUGCCAUCAGGUUAUGCUGGGGACUCUAACGGAACUGCCGGUGAAUAGCCGGAGGAAGGAGGGGAUGACGUCAAGUCAGUAUGGCCCUUAUGUCCAGGGCGACACACGUGCUACAAUGGGUGGUACAAAGGGUCGCAAUACCGCAAGGUGGAGCUAAUCCAUAAAAGCCAUCCUCAGUUCGGAUUGGGGGCUGCAACUCGCCCCCAUGAAGUUGGAAUCGCUAGUAAUCGUGGGUCAGCCACACCACGGUGAAUACGUACUCGGGGCUUGUACACACCGCCCGUCACACCAGCCGAGUGGGGGAUUCUCGAAGUCGUUUCGCUUCAGAAGCGCCUAAAGAGUCCUUCAUGAGGGGGGUGAAGUCGUAACAAGGUA